GUAGUCAUAUGCUUGUCUCAAAGAUUAAGCCAUGCAUGUGUAAGUAUAAGCGAUUGUACUGUGAGACUGCGAACGGCUCAUUAUAUCAGUAAUAAUUUCUUCGGUAGUUUCUUUUAUAUGGAUACCUGCAGUAAUUCUGGAAAUAAUACAUGCUGUAAGAGCCCUGUAUGGGGCUGCACUUAUUAGAUUGAAGCCGAUUUUAUUGGUGAAUCAUGAUAAUUGAGCAGAUUGACUUUUUAGUCGAUGAAUCGUUUGAGUUUCUGCCCCAUCAGUUGUCGACGGUAGUGUAUUGGACUACGGUGACUAUAACGGGUGACGGAGAGUUAGGGCUCGACUCCGGAGAGGGAGCCUGAGAGACGGCUACCAUAUCCAAGGAUAGCAGCAGGCGCGUAAAUUACCCACUGUGGACUCCACGAGGUAGUGACGAGAAAUAUCGAUGCGAAGCGUGUAUGCGUUUUGCUAUCGGAAUGAGAGCAAUGUAAAACCCUCAUCGAGGAUCAACUGGAGGGCAAGUCUGGUGCCAGCAGCCGCGGUAAUUCCAGCUCCAGAAGCAUAUGCUAAAGUUGUUGCAGUUAAAAAGCUCGUAGUUGAAUUUCUGGCAUGGGCGACCGGUGCUUUCCCUGAAUGGGGAUUGAUUGUCUGUGUUGCCUUGGCCAUCUUUUUCUUUUCUUUUUAGAGGAGAAAUCUUUCACUGUAAUCAAAGCAGAGUGUUCCAAGCAGGUCGUAUGACCGGUAUGUUUAUUAUGGGAUGAUAAGAUAGGACUUGGGUGCUAUUUUGUUGGUUUGCACGCCUGAGUAAUGGUUAAUAGGAACAGUUGGGGGUAUUCGUAUUUAGGAGCUAGAGGUGAAAUUCUUGGAUUUCCGAAAGACGAACUAGAGCGAAGGCAUUUACCAAGCAUGUUUUCAUUAAUCAAGAACGAAAGUCUGGGGAUCGAAGAUGAUUAGAUACCAUCGUAGUCUAGACCGUAAACGAUGCCGACUUGCGAUUGUUGGGUGCUUUUUUAUGGGCCUCAGCAGCAGCACAUGAGAAAUCAAAGUCCUUGGGUUCCGGGGGGAGUAUGGUCGCAAGGCUGAAACUUAAAGGAAUUGACGGAAGGGCACCACCAGGAGUGGAGCCUGCGGCUUAAUUUGACUCAGCACGGGAAAACUUACCAGGUCCAGACAUAGGUAGGAUUGACAGAUUGAGAGCUCUUUCAUGAUUCUAUGGGUGGUGGUGCAUGGCCGUUCUUAGUUGGUGGAGUGAUUUGUCUGGUUAAUUCCGUUAACGAACGAGACCUCGGCCUACUAAAUAGUGCGUGGUAUGGCAACAUAGUGCGUUUUUACUUCUUAGAGGGACAUGUCCGGUUUACGGGCGGGAAGUUCGAGGCAAUAACAGGUCUGUGAUGC
rnacentral:rRNA from 1 species